GAUGAACGCUGGCGGCGUGCCUAAUACAUGCAAGUCGAGCGAACAGACGAGGAGCUUGCUCCUCUGACGUUAGCGGCGGACGGGUGAGUAACACGUGGAUAACCUACCUAUAAGACUGGGAUAACUUCGGGAAACCGGAGCUAAUACCGGAUAAUAUAUUGAACCGCAUGGUUCAAUAGUGAAAGACGGUUUUGCUGUCACUUAUAGAUGGAUCCGCGCCGCAUUAGCUAGUUGGUAAGGUAACGGCUUACCAAGGCAACGAUGCGUAGCCGACCUGAGAGAGUGAUAGGCCACACUGGAACUGAGACACGGUCCAGACUACUACGAGAGGCAGCAGUAGGGAAUCGGCCGCAAUGGGCGAAAGCUUGACGGAGCAACGCCGCGUGAGUGAUGAAGGUCUUCGGAUCGUAAAACUCUGUUAUUAGGGAAGAACAAAUGUGUAAGUAACUAUGCACGUCUUGACGGUACCUAAUCAGAAAGCCACGGCUAACUACGUG
rnacentral:rRNA from 1 species